rnacentral:rRNA from 1 species
UUCCUACGGGAGGCAGCGGUGGGGAAUAUUGCACAAUGGGCGAAAGCCUGAUGCAGCAACGCCGCGUGAGCGAUGAAGGCCUUCGGGUCGUAAAGCUCUGUCCUCAAGGAAGGUAAUGACGGUACUUGAGGAGGAAGCCCCGGCUAACUACGUGCCAGCAGCCGCGGUAAUACGUAGGGGGCUAGCGUUAUCCGGAAUUACUGGGCGUAAAGGGUGCGUAGGUGGUUUCUUAAGUCGGAGGUGCAAGGCUACGGCUCAACCGUCGUAAGCCUUUGCACCUGGGGAACUUGAGUGC